rnacentral:tRNA from 1 species
GUGGGUACAGCUCAGGGGUAGAACACAUGCUUAAUAUGCAUGAGGUCCUGGGUGCAAUCCCCAGUACCUCCA